UGACCCAACAAAGACAGCCUCUUUGGGUUUGUUUCAAAGCUAAGGCUACAUACAAAUAUGCGUGUCGCUUGGACGACGCCGUUUAGGCCACACACCAUUUAAACAAUUUUGUAUACAUUUAUGGUCAAAUUGGUCAAUUAGUAUCUUUGCCGUACCGAGAUGUCUCAGCUAGCCACUUAACUCGACAGAUGAUUUGCUGAGCGGUCAUGGUUAAAAUU